rnacentral:tRNA from 1 species
GCCGAAGUGGCGGAAUUUGGUAGACGCGCUAGAUUCAGGUUCUAGUGGGCGAAAGUCCAUCGGGGUUCGAGUCCCCGCUUCGGCA